GACGAACGCUGGCGGCGUGCCUAAUACAUGCAAGUUGAGCGAUGAAGCUUGGUGCUUGCACCAAUUUGAAGAGCAGCGAACGGGUGAGUAACGCGUGGGGAAUCUGCCUUUGAGCGGGGGACAACAUUUGGAAACGAAUGCUAAUACCGCAUAACAACUUUAAACAUAAGUUUUAAGUUUGAAAGAUGCAAUUGCAUCACUCAAAGAUGAUCCCGCGUUGUAUUAGCUAGUUGGUGAGGUAAAGGCUCACCAAGGCGAUGAUACAUAGCCGACCUGAGAGGGUGAUCGGCCGCAUUGGGACUGAGACACGGCCAAAACUCCUACGGGAGGCAGCAGUAGGGAAUCUUCGGCAAUGGACGAAAGUCUGACCGAGCAACGCCGCGUGAGUGAAGAAGGUUUUCGGAUCGUAAAACUCUGUUGGUAGAGAAGAACGUUGGUGAGAGUGGAAAGCUCAUCAAGUGACGGUAACUACCCAGAAAGGGACGGCUAACUACGUG
rnacentral:rRNA from 1 species